GUGGGGAAUUUUGGACAAUGGGCGAAAGCCUGAUCCAGCCAUGCCGCGUGCAGGAUGAAGGCCUUCGGGUUGUAAACUGCUUUUGUACGGAACGAAAAGACUCCUUCUAAUAAAGGGGGUCCAUGACGGUACCGUAAGAAUAAGCACCGGCUAACUACGUGCCAGCAGCCGCGGUAAUACGUAGGGUGCAAGCGUUAAUCGGAAUUACUGGGCGUAAAGCGUGCGCAGGCGGUUAUAUAAGACAGAUGUGAAAUCCCCGGGCUCAACCUGGGAACUGCAUUUGUGACUGUAUAGCUAGAGUACGGUAGAGGGGGAUGGAAUUCCGCGUGUAGCAGUGAAAUGAGUAGAUAUGCGGAGGAACACCGAUGGCGAAGGCAAUCCCCUGGACCUGUACUGACGCUCAUGCACGAAAGCGUGGGGAGCAAACAGGAUUAGAUACCCUUGUAGUCC
rnacentral:rRNA from 1 species